rnacentral:lncRNA from 1 species
AAUACCCUUUUGGCAAUCAUUAUUUCACCUGACCGUUUGAUCUUCUUUCUUGAAUGGGUUGCCUCGUGGCUGUUAGAUAAGAUGUGAACCAUGACAUGUAGUUCCAUCUACCUAAGGGACCACGAACCUCUUUCUCUAUUCUCGGUUCAGGUAUUAUUAUUAUUUAUUUUUUUUUUAGCAGGAUCAACCUCGAUUCCUCUCUUACAAUAAACCCCAACAGCUUACCGGAUCGCACUCUGAUAGUGCACUCACUUGAAUUCAACCCCAGUUUGAAUUGUCUCCACUGGUCCAUUCAGCUUGGCCAGAUCUACCAGAUGCCCC